AGAACACAAUAUUAUAACAUGAAAGGAACAUGACUGAGUGACAUUUGACAAUGACCAAAACAUAGAUAUUUUAUUUUUGCUGCGCUUCAUAGAAGAUCUUGCUAGUGUCAGCGACUAGGUUAUUCCUAACCCAUUCAGCGCCUAUUGACGACAGUAUCUUCUGGCUGGGGGUGUUCUGUUAAGAGCCCCGGCAAUCGUUCUGAACGUUUAAAUGCAUCGCUUACGAGUCCGAUCCCAUCAACAUCUGCAGCGGCAUCAACAUCAAGCUCAGCAUCAGGAACUAAUCUUCUCUCUAAGCCAAAGUUCUGUUCUGUGGAGAAGAUUAAGACUAUUGGCAGCACCUACAUGGCAGCUGCUGGUCUGACCAAUCCUGCUAUAGGGGACGAGCGAAAGGACUGUGAUGUGUCCUACAGCCAUGUACGCAGCAUGGUAGAGUUUGCCGUCGCUCUGAAGAACAACUUGGAGUCCAUCAACCAACACUCCGUCAACAGCUUUAAGCUACGCAUCGGUAGCGUUCUAUCGUUCUGACCUCUCCAACCAAUCAUCAUCACGAUCAUCACGACAAAAAGAGAUUGAGACUUUUACAACUAAACUCCCUUGAUUUGAUAACCAUUUUAUUUUUGGCAGUGAAACGAGGCUACUCAGGAGAGAGAAAAAACAUCGCCCAAAUGUUAUAGCCCUGUCGGAAAAUAGAAAUGUACUGUUUGAAAAUGUGAAGAAGAAAAAAAAGAAAAUGAUUUGGCGUACCCCCGACGGCAUUGCACGUUUGAGAAUAGCUGCUGUAGACCCAUUGGAUGAAAGCUUUCAGCCGGGAACAAGCUCAACAUCACCUGACUCUGAAGAGGAAAAGACUGCGUAGGCCUGGCAAAGCCAAAGUGUAUAGUCUAUGUCCAAGAUCAUGACCAGCUGCCGUUGCCCGACACAAGACGACGUUCACCAGCUGAAGAACACUCAGGAGCCCGACCUUUAACAUUCAGCCAACACAACAUCCAUAUUCACUUAGACUGAUGUGUAGCAUAAUAUAGAAUGCCUAGUAUGCUCACAACUGCAUUGUGCGGAAGACACAUUUCAGUUGAAUACAUUCAGUUGGACAACUGACUAGGUAUUCCCCUUUCCCUUUGGUAUAGAAAGCUCUUGUACAUAAAAUAAAUGAUGCAGGGAGCAGAUGUAUCAUUUCAACUUGAAUUUGUUGGCAAGCAAACAUGCUUCAAUAUAACAGUAGAUUAGUCUGUCAAUAUAACAGUAGAUUAGUCUGUCAAUAUAACAGUAGAUUAGUCUGUCAAUAUAACAGUAGAUUAGUCUGUCAUUGUAGCAAAUAAGUAGACGGCUUGUAUUCAAGACUAUGUUUAUUUACUCUGGAGACCGAGGUGAGUUUACACAACAGUAUGAAGGAACAGUUCUGGCAAUGUACGGCAUAUACAGUGAAUUCGCAAAGUAUUCAGACACCUUGAAUUUGUACCACAAUUUGUUACGUUACAGCAUAUUCUAAAAAUGAUUCAAUUGUUUUUUCCCCCCCUCGUCAAUCUACACACAAUGACCCAAAUGGCACUAAUACAUGUUCCAUGUCUCAGUUGUCUCCCGGCUUAAAAAUCCUUCUUUAAUCUGUCUCCUCCCUUUCAUCU